UGGCCGGCAGGUCAUUAUCGCCACAGGUCAAACACCGGAGCCCGCAGGGCAACGAAAAAUAAGUAGGGAUCAACAAGACAAGGCCAAAACCAAAGGUACGGAUGAGAAUCAGUGUACGGUAAUCAGAUUUUUAAAGACAAGCGAGACAUUUUGGCGUCCCUCCCGGACAUUUUAUGAGCAGGCGGGACACGAUGUCAAAAGCGGGACUGUCCCGCGUAUGGUCACCUAGAAGUGUUCGGGAAUAUUCUUCGUGUGGUCAACAUUGUCGCGUGUCGGCGACCGUGUUGUCUGUGUUGUGCCGCCCGUACAGUGCUGGAAUGUCGUUGGGUGUGCGCGCGCGGAUGGGGAGAAUCAAGGGACAUUCACACGACCCUUGUGUGACCCUAUCCGUCUCGCGAGCUGAAGAGCCCACCGGCGGCGCUUGUCGUCACUCGUCGGUUGUUUGCAGGUCCCUUCUUUUCGGGAGUGGACGGCGCAUCCCUCCCCUUGACCUUUCUCCCCCCUUUCUUUACCUUAUAUAUUCGCGCACGCGCAGUCCUUGGGGCGUUUUUCUGUCGCUUUUGGACAACAACAACAACAACAACAACAACUUCUUCCAGCAACAGGCAGUGCCGGACGUGUGGGACGGUGUUAGACCGUGGUCGUGGCAGCCGGCGUCUUUUCUUGCCCUGGAUCGACCUGUCACAAUCCGUUUUGGUCUAACUGUUCGCCCCUCCACCCUGCACCCUCAUCGCCUCGUCAGCGCGUGAACCCGUGACCCUGCCGUGCCCGGGUGAGGCCAAGCCUACCAGCUCAAGCUCCCCAGUUACAAAGGCCCUCGGGGAAGGUGUGCCUGGACGAGAGGAAGAGCGGGGGAGGGGAGGUCAGAACUGGAGCGUCACGCAGGGUCAGAGGGCGAGCAGCAGUCAGCCGGUACAUUGACCGGACGAUAGACUGGCAACCCGGCAGUACGACUUUCAAUUAUGAAGAAUAAAAUAUGGUAUUUCGUUGUAAUCCUUGGCACCGUUUUUUCUGUUCUUGGCUGUGGUGCAUUUUUGAGACACCAUUAUGUUGUGGACUUCACGCUUUCUUUCCUUCCUACAUGCCAACAGCAACCAGAGCACCCAGUCCAGAGCAACAGACCAAGACCAUGAUUCUUCCACUAAUGUGAGCACAGGUACCUUACAACGUCCAGCAUCUUGAGUAUUGAUAAUCAUGAGUCUGAAACCCCAGAAUACACAUCUAUAGGCGAUAGAAAUUUGCAUCAGACUACCACUCUCUCUAUCCGCCCAAUUCAUUCUGCUGAGGCUGGGAAUCCCAAGU